rnacentral:rRNA from 1 species
UACGUAGGGUGCGAGCGUUAAUCGGAAUUACUGGGCGUAAAGCGUGCGCAGGCGGUUUUGUAAGUCAGAUGUGAAAUCCCCGGGCUUAACCUGGGAACUGCGUUUGAAACUACAAGGCUAGAGUGUGGCAGAGGGGGGUGGAAUUCCACGUGUAGCAGUGAAAUGCGUAGAUAUGUGGAGGAAUACCGAUGGCGAAGGCAGCCCCCUGGGAUAACACUGACGCUCAUGCACGAAAGCGUGGGGAGCAAACAGG